rnacentral:rRNA from 1 species
UACGUAGGGAGCAAGCGUUGUCCGGAUUUAUUGGGCGUAAAGAGCGUGUAGGCGGCCAGACAGGUCCGUUGUGAAAACUCGAGGCUCAACCUCGAGAUGUCGAUGGAAACCGUCUGGCUAGAGUCCGGAAGAGGAGUGUGGAAUUCCUGGUGUAGCGGUGAAAUGCGCAGAUAUCAGGAAGAACACCUAUGGCGAAGGCAGCACUCUGGGACGGUACUGACGCUGAGACGCGAAAGCGUGGGGAGCGAACAGG